rnacentral:misc_RNA from 1 species
AUUCCAAGGAACACUGUCAUCCCAGCUAAGAAGUCUCAAGUUUUCUCUACGUAUCAGGAUCAGCAGACUACUGUUUCCAUUAAGGUAUGUAUAAAUUUUAUGUCGUCUGAAACUCAGCUCAUAAAACCUAAUAACUCUUAACUCUUAGUUAGAGCUACACAAUUGUGUAUUUAUUCUGAUUUUCUCAUUUGUGAUUUGAUGUUGAAAAAUUG